rnacentral:rRNA from 1 species
AUGUGCUGCAUUCAUGUACCUCAAAUCCUAACAAGCAUGCGGAAUAAAAACCUACAUAGUACAUAUGUACCAUACCUACUCAUCGCCGGAGAUGUCCAUGAUCUCCGUGUUCGACUCCGGGUAGAUGGAAAACUGUGGCAACUCUGGCUCGUCGUCCAAUUCACUAGAGACGAAGAUUUCGCCAAUCUCCGCAUGUUGCUACCGGAUGAAGCAUCGGUGGCAUUUGUUGUGGCCUCAUCUUGGAUGGACUCCAGGAUGGCGGUUCGCUCCGCCAUCUCCCCCGUUUGGAUGACCUCAAACUCUGUCAUGACGUCCUUCAUGGCGAAUCCCACAGCUGGCUCUGCCUCCUCCUUCGCCCCCGCCACGUCCUCCUCCUCUGGACCCGCCCCUCCAUGGGCCGGGGGUCCUGCUCUGCCUCCGGUUGCUGCCCCCUCCCCCUCCUCCUCCGCCUCCUAA